rnacentral:rRNA from 1 species
GACAGAGGGUGCAAACGUUGUUCGGAAUUACUGGGCGUAAAGCGCGUGUAGGCGGCUGUGCAAGUCGGGUGUGAAAGCCCCAGGCUCAACCUGGGAAGUGCAUUCGAUACUGCGCAGCUAGAGUCCCGGAGAGGAUGGUGGAAUUCUCGGUGUAGAGGUGAAAUUCGUAGAUAUCGAGAGGAACACCGGUGGCGAAGGCGGCCAUCUGGACGGUGACUGACGCUGAGACGCGAAAGCGUGGGGAGCAAACAGG